AGGUCGAUUGUUGUCUUCAUCGAAUAGUCCUCUGCAACCAUUCGACUGAAGCCCUGUUCGUCAAUAGUGGCUCGAUGACCCCUGCACAUCAUUAUUGAUGACUCCUCAUUAGUCGAUCACUCAGACAUCAUUGAACCCAUCCUAACUACGGUACAAAGCGACCGACCCCUAGUUGUCACGAACUAGUCCUCACCUCUAUAGUACUCAAAUUGGCAAUUUCAUUCAAAAUGUGGCACCUGCCAGGCAACAGCUGUCGUUGGACUGAUAAGGCAACUGUAAGUGCCCUAUUUCGAAAGUAUUGA
rnacentral:lncRNA from 1 species